rnacentral:lncRNA from 1 species
AGCAGCGUAGCUGAACAUCUUACGGAUGGCCCAGGGCUCCAAAGGCUCGUUUCCUAAGUGAGAGAGAGCCUGGCUGAAGCUGUAUUACCAUUCAUUCUCCAGCCUCCGAAGUCUCAAAGCAUCACUUCCACCAUACUCUAACUGUCAAGACAAACACAAAGGCCCAGAAACUGCCAGACUGUCUUCCGAAGUGGCUAUAAUAUUUACACUCACAUCAGCAGUGUAGAAGGGGUCUCACUAUGUUGUCUGGAGUGCAGUGGCUGGAGUGGAGUGGCUAUUCACAGAGCCUGUUCUGCUGGGACACAGAAUCACUUGCUCCAUCUCAUACAUUGAUGAUGAUUAAUUUGUAUGUGUACCUUCCAAAAAAAGAUGGUUGUGUUUGAACGGAGGCCUUCUGGACAGGAAAAUAUGGAGAGUGCGUGCUUUGGAUUCAAGACUGGGAAUGAGGGGACCAGAAACCUAUUCUGUGGCUGUUUCUUGUUAGGACUUUCCUAAGCCUCUGGAAAAGACUAAUCUUUCCAAGUUCAUCUGAGGCUCCUCUUCUCCAUGACAACCUCAUCCAGGGAUUUCUUCCUGUCCUGGUGUUUU